rnacentral:tRNA from 1 species
UAGAUGGAUGCCCGUUGGAUUGGGCGCUUAGCUGUUAACUAAGAGUUUGUAGGUUCGAGGCCUUCUCAUCUAG